CAGCCUUUCAUUUUACCCGAGCCCCCCUCUCUCUCUCUCUCCUCAGAAAACCUCUCUCUCUCUCCCUCUCUCUCUCUCUCUCUCUCUCUCCUCUGCGUAUUACUGUUGCCGACGACGCAGGAGUACUUUCCGGCCACCAUUUUUAGCCACGCGCCGGACCGUUGGAUUCAGAGGCCUCCGAACUAUCGACCCACGCGGGAAUCUAGAGCUCACUCGCCGAUUAAACGCCUCAACCACUCGAUUUAAGUUCGGCCACCCCGCGACUUCAAAGUUGCGAUUCGGCCACCUCGGGCAUCCGUUUGCCGAUCCGUCACCACCAUCGUGCUCCUCGUGUUGUGGGCUUCAAAACCCAAUAACUUUUUCCUACAUCUACCAUAGUUGGGUGGUGGGCCCACCACGAGCCACCGCGAUCCACCGUAGACCGACGGUCGAAACUUAGUGUUCGAGGUUCCGAAGUACGUUUUGAGUCUCAGAAAAUCAUCGUUUGACUUAUUGUGGAACCCGAUCAUUUUGGAUUUGUAUGGAUUUAAUUGAUUGACUCUUGGUGAGCCGUUUUAAAAUAAGCUAAGGACCUAAGGUGUGGCUUUAGCUGUUGAGCAACUUGUGGAGCACGGACUCAGUAGCAAUGCAAUAAUGGUUUAGAGUUUUCAUAUGGCUGCCUUAAAUUUAAAGUAUUCAUACGUGUAAUAAUUUCUUCUAAUAAGUUUAUAUAAAAGUUUUAAAUUUUUCUGUAUUUCUUCGUAUCAUUUUAUUUAAUUCUUUUGGUCAAGUGCCUUACAUACUCGUAAACCCUAGAAUUACGAGUAUGUGGCAGACGUACCCUACCUUAGGGACGUUACAGUCUGAUCUCCGCACCCUUACCUGAAAGGGUGACCUCGACUUGCCCACUAGACGAACAUUUGUGCCGCCUUCACUUGUUCAAGACUGUGAUUUUGCCGCCACUGUUGUCGAAAAUACGCCAUUCUUCAUGACUAGACCUUUCUAGUAAAGGCAAGGGCAAGCUGGACCAAGCCUGAGGUGGAGAGCUCCGAGGUGAAAUGUACAUAGCCAGCUGUUCGAUCACCAUGGUCGAGGAGUGAGUCGGGACAUGGAUCUAUCUAACUGCUCGUUUUUCCUUAGUAUGGCUGGUUAAUGUAUUUAAACCUUGUAACUUUUGUAAACAGCCUUUGAACUGAUAUUUUUGGGAUCCCGUGUAAAUAAACAAUG